CUCGGAAGUUAGUAACAUAUGCUAUCUGCACAACAGAGCUGUAUCAGCAUUUUUAAAAGGCUUCGUGGUCUUGUUGACAGUUACCUGUUUUAUAUUUCUGCUCUGCUGACGGCAGAAGCAGAAGGAACGUCGAGGAACCAAAUGAGACUGAAGACACAAGGAACCACAGGAGGAUUCAGCCUGAAGACUCUGCAGUGAGACGGCGCCCUGACCCUGAGAUUCAUCUCCAAGAGUUUUUCAAGCUUUACCCGCUUCUUCUUUUUAAUAAACCAAACAUUAUGCUUCCCAGUGG